UCUUUUAACGCAUAAAGCAAAGGAGACAGCACGGGAACUAAAUAGUAGUUGGCAUAGCCUGUCUAUCAUGUACAAAAAGAUUUGUAAGAAAUAUGGAGAAGAAAUAUGGAGAUAUGAAGUCCCACACAGGGUCUCGCUUUCUUCAUUGGCGACAUAGGGUCUCUUACGAGACACUAGUUUCUCCAACUUGCUGGUCCCACACAGUUUCUUCCUCUGUCUAUUUCCCUAGCAGAUCUCAACCAAUUCUUAUAUAUAAACCCCUUUCGAGAUCUGCUUCAAGCUCUGUCCCCUUCUUCCACUUCCACCCUCCUCUCUGACAAGUUCUCACCUUUCAAUUCCACUUCUGCAUUUGCAUCAGUUUCAGUUACAAAAAUCUUACAUUUUCCCCAAUUUUAUUUAUUUGUUCUGAUGAAUAAGCAUUGCAAAACAACUUGGAUGGUGUAUUUGCUAAAGGGUGUCAUCUAAUUUUGGAUUAUGUUAAUUGAACUCUUUCAAUUUCAUUUUUUUUAAUAAAGUAUGGACUUGUUCUGUAAUUUGAGGUUUUUGUGGAUAAGAGUGAGCUAUAAUGGCUUCCAGGAGACCGGGUUUAAUUGCUUUGUUUGAUGUUGACGGGACUCUUACAGCUCCCAGGAAGGUAUCUGAUUCUUCUGCAGCUAAUGACACUCUCCAUGACUGCAGAUUUUUUUUAAUUUGAAAUUGAAGGUGUCUCGCCAAUGGAGAGGCGAGACCCUACGUCGCCAAUGAAGAAAGCGAGUCCCUCCACGCCAGCCAGUAUGGCUAGUGCGACGGACGGCACCCUUCCACGUCAGCACUGUAUUGCUGUUGCCAAUGGCGACUCAUACUUUUUCGCCAUUAUCAUUGGCGGGUUCCAUGCAAAAAGUAACCCCUUUGCAUAAAUAGUUUUUAAAUGUGACUCCUUUGAGUAAAUUUGCCAAAAAUAUUAGCACCCCAACCACACCGUUUGUUCCAAGAAAUUAUGUCAAAUUGAUCGAACAUGGGCUGGUGUUAGUUUCCUCAGCCCACUCCUGACACUGUCAUGAUUGAAUCUGCAAGUUCACAGUAUGUCUAUUAUUGUAUUAUUAAUUAUAUGAUUCAUUAUGUUCUGUUCC